AGCUGAAGUCACGCCACUGCACUCCAGCCUAGGUGACGAAGGGAGACUCUGUCUCAAAAAAUAAAAAAAAAGUUAGCAACUGUGGAGGACAAACAAAAUGCUGACCCUGUCUUCAGACUUCUCCUUGGAUGGAAGGGUGGCAGACCCAAAGCCUUUGGCUUAAGAAAUCUCCCCAGGGCCAGGUCCUAACAAAACGUGGCUUCUCCCAUGAUGUCCCCCAUGUGUCAAUGCUAAACCGACCCUCUGGCUCUGACAAUUCAAAGUCAACUCAACAAAUGCUUACUAAGCAUUUGCUGCCUGACAGGCUCUGGCCUUGAUGUUGGGAAUAAGACUGGACCAGUCACUCAUAUCUCUGCCUUCAGAGAUAUGACCUCAGAGAUUAAACCUCUAGUGUUUACUAGAGGUUAAACACUAGUGAGGAGGCAGAUAUUAGCCCAACCAUCACAAGAAUACAUGACUACAAACUGAGAUAAAUAUUAGGAAGAAAAAUUGGAGGAAACUAAGAGAGUUUUGAGAUGCCUGAACUAGACAGACCCCUAUCCUAACACUCUGAAUGAAACAAUGUGUGAUCCCAAGUCCACCAAGAUGCAGAACUUGCUUCCACCGGUGCCCAGAGAAUUG
rnacentral:lncRNA from 1 species